rnacentral:sRNA from 1 species
UCAGAAAUUAGAGUACAUCGCUUUCCGA